UACGUAGGGCGCAAGCGUUGUCCGGAAUUAUUGGGCGUAAAGAGCUCGUAGGUGGCGUGUCGCGUCUGCCGUGAAAGCCCAUGGCUUAACUGUGGGUCUGCGGUGGAUACGGGCAGGCUGGAGGCUGGUAGGGGCAAGCGGAAUUCCUGGUGUAGCGGUGAAAUGCGCAGAUAUCAGGAGGAACACCGGUGGCGAAGGCGGUUCUCUGGGCAUGUCCUGACGCUGAGGAGCGAAAGUGUGGGGAGCGAACAGG
rnacentral:rRNA from 1 species